GAUGAACGCUAGCGGCAGGCUUAAUACAUGCAAGUCGAACGGGAUUGAGAAGCUUGCUUUUCAUGAGAGUGGCGCACGGGUGCGUAACACGUAUGCAACCUACCUUGUCCAGGGGGAUAGCCCGUUGAAAGACGGAUUAAGACCGCAUAACAUUGAGCUGUGGCAUCACAAAUCAAUCAAAUAUUUAUAGGGACAAGAUGGGCAUGCGCCUGAUUAGGUAGUUGGCGGGGUAAUGGCCCACCAAGCCGACGAUCAGUAGGGGAUCUGAGAGGAUGACCCCCCCACACUGGUACUGAGACACGGACCAGGCUCCUACGGGAGGCAGCAGUAAGGAAUAUUGGUCAAUGGGCGAAAGCCUGAACCAGCCAUGCCGCGUGCAGGAAGACGGCCCUACGGGUUGUAAACUGCUUUUAUACGGGAAUAACCCCGGUUUCGUGAAACCGGCUGAAUGUACCGUAAGAAUAAGGAUCGGCUAACUCCGUGCCAGCCGCCGCGGUAAAAC
rnacentral:rRNA from 1 species